rnacentral:lncRNA from 1 species
AGUAAGGGGUGAUGAUAGGAGCAGGAGCGGCAAAAACGGGCUCGUUACGGAUAAGUGUUGGAACGGAACGAGAGGAGGAGGAGGAGGAGGAGGAAGAAGAGGAUGAGGGAAGGCAAGCCACGGUGGGAGAAGAACGAAGAGUCUGUUUUUGGAGAGAAGGCUGAGAAGGAGAAAGAGAGGUGAGGAAGAAGCCGGAGAGAGGAGCGGUCGCCAUUUGCGGGUGAAGAGAAGGUAGUGAGAGUGAGAUGUAGUUUAUAAUAUAGUAUAAUAAGACUUUGUAGAUGUAAGGGAUAU